CGCACAUUGCGCCCCUUGGUAUUCCAUGGGGCAUGCCUGUUCGAGCGUCAUUUGUACCUUCAAGCUUUGCUUGGUGUUGGGCGUUUUGUCUUUUCUCUUCUGAUUAGACUCGCCUUAAAGUCAUUGGCAGCCAGUGUUUUUGGUAGUAAGCGCAGCACAUUUUGCGUCUUAGUCCUUAAAUAGCGGCAUCCAUAUAGCUACUUUUUCACUUUUGACCUCGGAUCAGGUAGGGAUACCCGCUGAACUUAA
rnacentral:misc_RNA from 1 species